rnacentral:rRNA from 1 species
GCAAAGCAAGCAGUCCAACCAUAUGCACACAACUUUCAAGUCAGGAAAAUCUAUGGUAAAAAUAGACACUUCAACUUUGUUUGGUUUGAGACCUACAAAUGGUUAGAAUAUAGUGUCAAAUAUGAGGCAACAUUUUGCUUUGUGUGUUAUUUGUUCAAAGGGAAAUCUAAUGGGGGGCCUAGGGGUCAUGCCUUUGUUAAUGGUGGUUGGAAAAAUUGGUAUAAGCCCGAUGCAUUGGUCAAACAUGUUGGUGGUAUUAAUAGCAUUCACAACAAAGCUCAAGAGAAGUACAAUUUAUUUGUG